AUACGUAGGGGGCGAGCGUUGUCCGGAAUGAUUGGGCGUAAAGGGCGCGUAGGCGGCCCGGUAAGUCUGGAGUGAAAGUCCUGUUUUUAAGAUGGGAAUUGCUUUGGAUACUGUCGGGCUUGAGUGCAGGAGAGGUAAGUGGAAUUCCCAGUGUAGCGGUGAAAUGCGUAGAGAUUGGGAGGAACACCAGUGGCGAAGGCGACUUACUGGACUGUAACUGACGCUGAGGCGCGAAAGUGUGGGGAGCAAACAGGAUUAGAUACCCUGGUAGUCCACGCUGUAGACGAUGAAUACUAGGUGUGGGGGGACUGACCCCCUCCGUGCCGCAGUUAACACAAUAAGUAUUCCACCUGGGGAGUACGAUCGCAAGAUUGAAACUCAAAUGAAUUGACGGGG
rnacentral:rRNA from 1 species